rnacentral:tRNA from 1 species
GCCUUCGUAGUGUAGUGGUCAGCACGUUUGGCCCGUAUUCCAGAGGUCCGUGGUUCGAGUCUCGGCGAAGGCG